GACGAACGCUGGCGGCGUGCUUAACACAUGCAAGUCGAACGGAAAGGCCCUGCUUUUGUGGGGUGCUCGAGUGGCGAACGGGUGAGUAACACGUGAGUAACCUGCCCUUGACUUUGGGAUAACUUCAGGAAACUGGGGCUAAUACCGGAUAGGAGCUCCUGCUGCAUGGUGGGGGUUGGAAAGUUUCGGCGGUUGGGGAUGGACUCGCGGCUUAUCAGCUUGUUGGUGGGGUAGUGGCUUACCAAGGCUUUGACGGGUAGCCGGCCUGAGAGGGUGACCGGACAUGGGAGGCAAGACGGCCGACCGAGAGCGGUGCAGGAUGCGGAGGGGGGGAGUGUAGGACGAGGGGCGGGAGCCGCAGACAGCAAGGUGGCGUGCGGGGUCGCGGCCGUCGAGUUGGAAGCCGCUGUCCCGUGGGCAGAAGGGGGGGUACCGGUAGUGGGUAAAGACGCAGCGGCGACCGACGCGCGAGCAGCGGGGGUAUAGAUGAAACACCGGUGUGGAC
rnacentral:rRNA from 1 species